rnacentral:rRNA from 1 species
UACAGAGGUCUCAAGCGUUGUUCGGAUUCAUUGGGCGUAAAGGGUGCGUAGGCGGCGCGGUAAGUCGGUAUGAAAUCUCGGGAGCUUAACUCGAAACUGCAUUCGAUACUGCCGUGCUUGAGGACUGGAGAGGAGACUGGAAUUUACGGUGUAGCGGUGAAAUGCGUAGAUAUCGGGAGGAACACCAGUGGCGAAGGCGACUACCUGGCCUGUUCUUGACGCUGAGGCGCGAAAGCCAGGGGAGCAAACGGG